rnacentral:rRNA from 1 species
GAGGAAAGAGGGGGGCGUGCCUAAUACAUGCAAGUCGAGCGAACAGAUAAGGAGCUUGCUCCUUUGACGUUAGCGGCGGACGGGUGAGUAACACGUGGAUAACCUACCUAUAAGACUGGGAUAACUUCGGGAAACCGGAGCUAAUACCGGAUAAGAUUUUGAACCGCAUGGUUCAAUAGUGAAAGACGGCCUUGCUGUCACUUAUAGAUGGAUCCGCGCCGUAUUAGCUAGUUGGUAAGGUAACGGCUUACCAAGGCAACGAUACGUAGCCGACCUGAGAGGGUGAUCGGCCACACUGGAACUGAGACACGGUCCAGACUCCUACGGGAGGCAGCAGUAGGGAAUCUUCCGCAAUGGGCGAAAGCCUGACGGAGCAACGCCGCGUGAGUGAUGAAGGUCUUCGGAUCGUAAAACUCUGUUAUCAGGGAAGAACAAACGUGUAAGUAACUGUGCACGUCUUGACGGUACCUGAUCAGAAAGCCACGGCUAACUACGUG